UGUAUUUGUGUGUGUAUGUAAUAGUAUAUGUAUGUGGGUAAUGGCUUGGACGCUACAUAUAACAUUUAUGACUAUCUUGAUCGAUAGUUCCUUUCAAUACCGUUUGAUCCCAGAAACACCACAUAUAUUA